rnacentral:rRNA from 1 species
UACGGAGGGAGCUAGCGUUGUUCGGAAAUACUGGGCGUAAAGCGCACGUAGGCGGCGCAGCAAGUCAGGGGUGAAAUCCCGGGGCUCAACCCCGGAACUGCCUUUGAGACUGCGUCGCUAGAAUCCGGGAGAGGUGAGUGGAAUUCCGAGUGUAGAGGUGAAAUUCGUAGAUAUUAGGAAGAACACCAAUGGCGAAGGCAGCACUCUGGGACGUGACUGACGCUGAGACGCGAAAGCGUGGGGAGCAACAGGA